AUGUUUGAGAAAUAUUUCAUAUAUUGCCAAAUAUAUUUGCCUAUGUCUUGAAUUCUUCGCUUGGGCUGGAGGUUUAUGCCUGUAAAAGUAGCCUGAUGAGAAAAAUCACCUGGGUGGUGGUCAAAGCCAGUUUUCAGGGCACGAGGCACAGAAAACCCUCAGGGGAUCUGGGCUAAGACACAGAUCUGUGUUCUUGGGCCACCCCCCUGCCACAUAUUUGUCCCCAUCCCAAGCUGUGAUGUAGCCAUUGGAGCUGGAAUUUCACACCUUAGAUUUUUGUGCAGGCUACUCGAAACAUGCAGAGUGGAGGAAGAUGUAUACAGUUGCCCUCUGAACAACGCAGGGGUCGGGACGCUGACCCUCUGCAUGGUCAGAAAUCCGCGUGUAACUCAGAGUUGGCAGAGUUGGCCUCUGAAUCUGCCCUUGCUCUGUAUCCUGGAUCCUUUUGUAGUCACAGUUCCUUCCUACCCACAAUUCCACAUCCCUGUCACCAACGAGCUCCAACUCCUGCAAUCCUGGAGCCUUCACCGUGGAAAAAAAAUUGUCAUCUCCGUGGACUUGCACAGUUCAGACCCAUGUUGUUUAAGGGUCAACUGCAUUUCGUGCCAGAGUGAGGCACCCCAGCAGGGUCUGGAAAGGAAGGCGAGGCCUGUGCACGCUGUGGGGUCACUCUACUGCCAACCCGCCCCCAGAAGCUCCUGCAGGCAAGUCACCUGAACAACUACUCCUCUUAGAGACCACGAGUGCAGCUGAAAGACCACAGGCUUUAGAAUCAGGUCAAUCUGGUCCUGGAUUCCAUAAAAGGAUGAAAAGGAGAGAAAAAAACGAGGCCCCUUACUAAGCUGUCGUGUCUUACACUGGACAGAAAAAUGGGAUAAAGUCCUUGAGUGUCAAGACAUCUUCUGUCUAAGUUCAGCCUCCUAAGGACAGGCGCCUCCAGCAAUCUAGGUUUCCACGUGACUGCCUUUAAAACAAGGCAGACGCACCCCAGGUUCCUUUCAGCCCUCUGCUCCUCUGCAGACACCUCCUCAGUGUUGCAGUAGGGUGUGUGUGGGAGCUCAGGAAAGGUCUCUGAGUAAGAAAAGAUAUUCUAGUGCCUACGUUUCCUUCCGGUCUCCUCUCACGCUGUACAAGACUGGCCGAAAGGGUAAGGAUCGAGAUAGAAAGACCAACUGGUUUUGUUUGGUUUUGGUUUUGUGAUCUAUGGAAAAAAACAAGAGCCAUGUCAACUUUCUCUUUGGCAAAGGUGGAGCUGGGUGACUAAACCAUGGAAUCAGAUCAUUCCUGGCCUCUCAGAUCCUGGGAACUUUGCUUACCAGAGUCCCAUAAGGCAGCCAGCCCAGCAUCAUUUUGCUUCAGGAUAAGUGUGUCAUGAUCAGUGGUAUCACGUCCAGCAUCUCCAGCCUUGAGGAUUUCUGAGCGGAGAACACUCAUAGGAUGACAGAGCUAGUAUUUUUGGUUAAUGACACUUCCCCUGGGACUCUUGGAUAAUGUACAGGGUUAUGAAAGAGUAAGUGGAAGCAAAAGCUUGGUACGCCAAUAAGUAUCCUGAAAGCAUGUAUGUACCAUGUGAAUUAGCAGAAAGUCAACAGGAGCAGUUUCCUUCCCGUGGAAUGUAUCUGCUUUUUCCUUGACCACUGCACUCUAUUACAUCAGAGCAUGGGACAUCAUUAAACCAGGCCCCAAGGGUGUAGGAAUUAAUCCUUCGACGACCAGAGAGCUUUCACAAACUACAGUCAGUUCCUACUUUUGUACAUAUCUCAUUCCUAACAAGUAUGUAUGAAAGUUUGAGUAUAAAAAGUAGAGAUUUUCAUACUCUGCAUGAGGUUUCCACACCUGCAGUAGUAAAAGCAUGGUUAACCCCCAAGCAGUUCAGUGAAGAUUGUCACUGCAUUUGGAUCAUAGACUUUUGGGGGGUUGGUCUUUAUCAUUUUUAGGAUCUUUGAUAAUAUAUUCCGAAAACUGCAUAUACAUCCUUUAGGUUUUGUUCUUCUCCUUUAUCAGUGAACGACUAGUCAAGAAGUUCAAUUCCAGUGAACAGCUAUUUGAGACCAAAUACGGGCUACCUUCUGUAUGCCCUAACAAUUCCUUUUCUUGCAGAAGUGCACAUGCUAAAGCCAGCUUGUAUCAACUUGAGAGAGUCCAUUGUUAAAUUUUCAGGAAUUUUGUGAGCUAAUUCAUAUCCUGUUGACAGCUUAAAAUCAGGUAUGGUGGGAAUAUUUACACCAAAGAAAAUGACGAGUGCUACAAAUCAAGGUUUCCUCCCUAUCUAUCUCCAGAGAGCUGUUUGUUGGACCUGCACCAGCA
rnacentral:lncRNA from 1 species